rnacentral:rRNA from 1 species
GAUGAACGCUGGCGGCGUGCCUAAUACAUGCAAGUCGAGCGAACAGACGAGGAGCUUGCUCCUCUGACGUUAGCGGCGGACGGGUGAGUAACACGUGGAUAACCUACCUAUAAGACUGGGAUAACUUCGGGAAACCGGAUCUAAUACCGGAUAAUAUAUUGAACCGCAUGGUUCAAUAGUGAAAGACGGUUUUGCUGGCACUUAUAGAUGGAUCCGCGCCGCAUUAGCUAGUUGGUCAGGUAACGGCUUACCAAGGCGACGAUGCGUAGCCGACCUGAGAGGGUGAUCGGCCACACUGGAACUGAGACACGGUCCAGACUCCUACGGGAGGCAGCAGUAGGGAAUCUUCCGCAAUGGGCGAAAGCCUGACGGAGCAACGCCGCGUGAGUGAUGAAGGUCUUCGGAUCGUAAAACUCUGUUAUUAGGGAAGAACAAAUGUGUAAGUAACUAUGCACGUCUUGACGGUACCUAAUCAGAAAGCCACGGCUAACUACGUG